rnacentral:rRNA from 1 species
UACGUAGGGGGCAAGCGUUGUCCGGAUUUAUUGGGCGUAAAGCGCGUGUAGGUGGCCAUGUAGGGCCGCUGUGAAAACUUGAGGCUCAACCUCAAGCUGUCGGUGGAAACCACAUGGCUAGAGUCCGGAAGAGGAGAGUGGAAUUCCUGGUGUAGCGGUGAAAUGCGCAGAUAUCAGGAAGAACACCAAUGGCGAAGGCAGCUCUCUGGGACGGUACUGUCACUGAGACGCGAAAGCGUGGGGAGCGAACAGG